UACGUAGGGUGCGAGCGUUAAUCGGAAUUACUGGGCGUAAAGCGUGCGCAGGCGGUCUGUUAAGACCGAUGUGAAAUCCCCGGGCUUAACCUGGGAACUGCAUUGGUGACUGGCAGGCUUUGAGUAUGGCAGAGGGAGGUAGAAUUCCACGUGUAGCAGUGAAAUGCGUAGAGAUGUGGAGGAAUACCGAUGGCGAAGGCAGCCUCCUGGGCCAACACUGACGCUCAUGCACGAAAGCGUGGGGAGCAAACAGG
rnacentral:rRNA from 1 species